CUAAUCUGAUGACCUCAGUUUUGUGCCACUUGUAUUUGGGCCACUGAUCACUGAUGGGAUUGAGGAACCGAGGAG